rnacentral:lncRNA from 1 species
GAUUUAGUCCCUGGGAGCUCUGGAGAUACUGGUUAGUUCAUAUUCUUGUUCAUCCUAGGGGGUGCAAAUUCCUUCAGCUCCUUGGGUGCUUUCUCUAGCUUCUUCAUUGGGGACCCUGAGCUCCGUCUAAUGGAUGUCUGUGAGCAUCCACUUCUGUAUUAGUCAGGCACUGAUAGAGCCUCUCAGGAGACAGCUAUAUCAGGCUCUUGUCAGCAAGAGUUGUUGGCAUCCACAAUAGUGUCUGGUUUUGGUGGUUGUUUAUGGGAUGAAUCCCCAGGUAGGGGAGUCUUGGGAUGGUCAUUCCUUCAGUCUCUGCUUCACACUUUGACUCUGUAACUCCUUCCAUGGAUAUUGUUUGACAAAGGAGCUAAAACCAUCCAGUGGAAAAAAAGACAGGAUCUUCAAUAAAUGGUGCUGGUUCAACUUGCGGUUAGCAUGUAAAAGCUUGAGAAUUGAUCCGUUCUUAUCUCCUGUACAAAGCUCAAGUCUAAGUGGAUCAAGAACCUCCAAUAAAACCAGAGACACUGAAACUUAUAGAGGAGAAAGUGGGGAAGAGCCUAAAACAUAUGGGCACUUGGGAAAAAUUCCUGAACAGAAUAUUAAUGGCUUGUACUAUAAGAUCAAGAAUUAAGAAAUGAGACGUCAUAAAAUUGUAAAGCUUCUGUAAGGCAAAGGACACUAUCAAUAAGACAAAAAGGCCACCAACUGAUUGGGAAAAGAUCUUUACCAAUCCUAAAUCUGAUAGAGGGCUAAUAUCUGAUACAUACAAAGAACUCAAGAAGUUAGACCCAGAAAACCAAAUAACCCUAUUAAAAAUAGGGUACAGAGUUAAACAAAGAAUUCUCAAUUGAGGAAUACCAAAUGGCUGAAGAGCACCUUUAAAAAACGCAUCCUUAGUCAUCAAAUGUCGCAUCCACCCUGACCAGCAGGAAAGACACAACACCACGUUGUCAUUCUUCAAGCAGGUUUGUCCAGGAAUACUUCACAUUGCAAUGCAGAAACGGGAAUCCCUUGAACAACCCCGGGUCACGCCUUAAAUACCCUACUUACUCCUCCCAAUCACCCCAGUCACAUAACGGCAGUCCAUAGGUUCACAGCAAAUGAUGACACCUCAGGCAAGCUGAUGAGGCAUGGCAUCUGCGCAGUGUAGGCAGCUGGGAUGUGGCUAAGUCUGAGAUAAUGAGGAAGUCAGGCGCAGGUCAUAAGACCUGGCAGCCAUCCUGAGCGCCAUUGUGGGGUGGUGACCGCACCUGCUCCUCACAAUCAAAGAAAUGCAAAUCAAACCAACCCUGCAAUUCCACCUCACACCAGUCAGAAUGGCUAAUAUAAAAAACUCAGGUGACAGCAGAUGUUGGUGAGAAUGUGGAGAAAGAGAAAACUCCUCCAUUGCUGGUGGGAUUGCAAGCUGAUACAACCACUCUGGAAAUCAGUUUGUCAGUUCCUCAGAAAAUUAGACAUAGUACUACCUGAGGACCCAGCUAUACCACUCCUGGGCAUAUACCCAGAAGAUGGUCCAACAUGUAAUAAGGACACAAGUUCCACUAUGUUCAUAGCAGCCUUAUUUAUAAUAGCCAGAAGCUGGAAAGAACCCAGAUGUCCCUCAACAGAGGAAUGGAUACAGAAAAUGUACAUUUACCCAAUGGAAUAUUACUCAGCUAUUAAAAACAACGAAUUUAUGAAAUUCUAAGGCAAAUGGAUGAAUCUGGAGUAUAUCAUCCUGAGUGAGGUAACCCAAUGUGUGGGUUUUUCAUUUUUAAGUAAUAUUUUAUUCUUUGUGAAGUUUAUAUCAUGUACCCCAAAUUGCUCAUCUCCUGAUCCCUUCCUACCCAGGAUUCUGCCCUUGCAACUUUCCCCCC